GGAAUAUAAGAACUCGGCUCUUAAUUUUUCACUGAAAUGCUAAGAGUCGGCUCUUAAAUAAGAGAUUUAAGAGCCGACUCUUAACUUUUCCAGUUAAAAGUUAAGAGUCGGGUUCUUAUAUUCU
rfam:Brassica napus, WGS project CCCW01000000 data, contig: 9112